GACGGAGGGUGCUAGCGUUGUUCGGAAUCACUGGGCGUAAAGGGCGCGUAGGCGGCCUUGCAAGUCGGUUGGUGAAAGCCCGGGGCUCAACCCCGGAGGUGCGGCCGAGACUGCAGGGCUGGAGGCCGGAAGAGGAGGGUGGAAUACCCAGUGUAGAGGUGAAAUUCGUAGAUAUCGAGAGGAACACCGGUGGCGGAGGCCGCCAACUGGACGAAUACUGGCGCUGAGACUCGAAAGCGGGGGGAGCAAACAGG
rnacentral:rRNA from 1 species